UUACGGUCAUAUCACGCUGAAACACCGGUUCUCGUACGAUAACCGAAGUUAAGCAACGUCAGUCCUGGUCAGUACCAAGAUGGGUAACUGCCUGGGAAUACUAGAUGCUGUAUG